UACGGGGGAUGCAAGCGUUAUCCGGAAUCAUUGGGCGUAAAGCGUCUGUAGGUUGUUUGAUAAGUCUGUUGUUAAAGACUGGGGCUUAACCCCAGAAAAGCAAUGGAAACUGUCUAACUUGAGUAUGGUAGAGGUAGAGGGAAUUCCUAGUGUAGCGGUGAAAUGCGUAGAUAUUAGGAAGAACACCGGUGGCGAAAGCGCUCUACUGGGCCAUAACUGACACUCAGAGACGAAAGCUAGGGUAGCAAAUGGGAUUAGAUACCCCAGUAGUCCUAGCCGUAAACGAUGGAUACUCGACGUUGCUCUUUUAGCAGUGUCCUAGCUAACGCGUUAAGUAUCCCGCCUGGGGAGUACACUCGCAAGGGUG
rnacentral:rRNA from 1 species